AUUAUUUACUUCCGCAAGGUGCACGUUCGGUGAAGAUGUGAGAUGUAAAUGAAAAAAGAACUUCGAAGUAUGAGUGGGUCUAACGGUAACACUGAUCCUGUGAUCUUGGCCACUGCUGGAUAUGAUCACACGAUUAGGUUCUGGCAGGCCCACAGUGGGAUCUGCUACCGAACUGUACAGCAUCCAGACUCUCAGGUCAAUGCAUUGGCAAUAACACCAGAUAAACAGCUAAUAGCUGCUGCAGGAUAUCAGCACAUACGUAUGUAUGAUCUUAACUCUAACAAUCCAAAUCCUGUCAUCAACUACGAGGGUAUUUCCAAAAACAUCACAGGUGUGGGAUUUCAGGAGGAGGGCAAGUGGAUGUACACUGGCGGAGAGGAUAAUAACGUCCGAAUCUGGGACCUCAGAUCCAGAAAUCAACAAUGCCAAAGACUGUUCCAAGUGAAUGCCCCAAUCAACUGUGUCUGUCUCCACCCCAAUCAGGGAGAACUUUUCAUCGGAGACCAGAGUGGAUCCAUCCAUAUAUGGGAUUUGAAGACAAACAACAAUGAACAGCUGAUACCAGAACCAGACGCCUCCAUCCAGUCUAUCAGUAUUGACCCAAUGGGAACGAUGAUGGCUGCUGUCAAUAACAAGUGCUGUUGUUACAUUUGGACACUGACAGGAGGGCGGGGAACAGAUCCCACCCAACUCCACCCAAAAACCAAGUUUGAGGCUCACGGUCGAUACGCUCUCAAAUGUUUGUUCAGCCCAGAUUCUACGUUGCUGGCUACCACCUCUGCCGAUCACACAGCCAAGAUCUGGCGGACGGCAGACCGCACCUUGAUGACCGAACUCAGGGACAACACUCAGCGAUGGGUGUGGGACUGUGCCUUCAGGGCGACUCACAAAACCUCAUAACAGGUAACACACUGGGAACUCAGGGACAACACUCAGCGAUGGGUGGGGGACUGUGCCUUCAGUGGCGACUCACAAUACAUCAUAACAGGUAAAACACUGUAAACUUGGGGACAACACUCAGAGAUGGGUGUGGGACUGUGCCUUCAGUGGCGACUCACAAUACAUCAUAACAGGUAAUACACUGUGAACUUAGGGACAACACUCAGCGAUGGGUGUGGGACUGUGCCUUCAGUGGUGACUCACAAUACAUCAUAACAGCAUCUUCAGACAACACUGCUCGACUCUGGAGUGUAGAUACUGGCGAGGUAAAGAAGGAAUACAGCGGUCACCAAAAGGCUGUGGUUGCCAUGGCGUUCCGGGACGAAAUUGUUGUUCAUUGAUUCACUUCUAUGCAUGUUAAUUCUUGAGGAGCUUUGUGUUGGACUGUGAAAGCUUGACAAGUUGGAUGUUCAUUCCAACUAUUUUUCAAUGAAAUGCAAGAUACUGGUCAUCUUAAGGCUGAGUGUUACAGCUUUUUAUGAUGUGAACAACCUCCUUUAACUCAUUCACCCCUGAAGACACAUUUGAACUCUUCCAAUUUAAAGGUUGGAAUAGUUCAUUAUGAAAUUUCAGGGGUGUAUAAGUUAAACCCUGCACGUAUUUAAACAUUAGUAUUAAAGGACUUCUCACUUUUAAUACUUAUUGAAGGGCAGGAUGUUGUUUUAAUAUAUUAGGAACAUUUACAUUGGUUGAAGUAAUGUACAGGUCAUGACCUUUUAUGAUAUUGGACUAAA